rnacentral:rRNA from 1 species
UCCCAGCAGUCCAAGUUGCAGCCAACUUUAUUAGGUCUAAAACAUCCGUAGCUUGUUUGACAAGUUCUUUGUGAAAUCUGGCAUCUUAAGUGUCAGGCGCGCAAAGAAUACUGUCAGGCUAGAGACCGGUAGAUGUAACGAGUAUGCUUGAGGUAGUGGUAAAAUACGUUAAUCUUGGGCAGACUAACAAUUGGCGAAGGCACGUUACAAGGACGGAUCUGACAGUGAGGGAUGAAGGCUAGGGG